GGUUCAUGCCCUCUGCUUUGUUUUCUCAUGCCCCAUGUCCAUAACUGAAAGCAUGGCACAUGUGAGGGCGGCCGUAAAUUCAUCAGGUGAUUGCAGCCAACCACAGCGAGCCGGCGAUCAAUGACUGGGUUGCUUUGAACUCCAAAUUUCAUCGAAAGUCAACGGCCGAUAUUUUAGCCCGCUGACUUUUAUUUCCUAUGAUCAUCCGUGUCUUCUAUAUAAGCGCCUUGCUCCCGAGUCCCAAGACAUUCUCCCAACACACAAACACUCAC
rnacentral:lncRNA from 1 species